AACAUAUCUCCUUUUAUCAAGUCUCCUGUUUUUGUGAGGAGAAAUAGGGGACUUGUUGUGGCUCUGUUUAGAAGUCCUAGGAAUAGGAAGAGUUGGAGUUUCCAAGAUGAAUGAGACCCGAGCAAAAUUCGACCUUUGAUGAACACUUUGUCAGGGCUAUAGAUGAAUUUAGAGCUCAAGGGGAAAGAUCUGAUACAACCAAUUUUAGUGGCGUUGGAAAUCACCUAUAAAUAAGAUGCCUCAGAGGGCAGCCUGGGAAGACAGAGCUGAAAGUGCAUGUACCCAGCUUGCUGCAGUGAACAUAAUGAGAUGGGUGAUGUCUUCUGAUUGGCCAGCAAGCAGACAUUAAUGACCAGUUAGCAACUGUGUUCAGGUCAAUUAAUUUAUAUUUGUAUUUUACAAACUAAAAGUUGCCCUGUUAGAUUAUUGAUUCUUUGUCCCUGAAUUCAAUUUGUUUUUAAUUGCACCAUUGCUGGGCAAAUCCCUCCCUCCUGGCAAGCUCACAAUAAAUCUGCCACCAUCUCAACAAUCAACAAUAAAUGUGUCUCUUCAUGUCAUUAUUAA